CUGCUCGCUCUGGCAGCACAUAUACGAAAAUGGAAACGAUACAGAGAAGAUUAGCAUGGCCUCUGCACAAAGAUGACACGCAAAUUCGUGAAGUGUUCCAUAUAUUG
rnacentral:snRNA from 1 species